GGCGAGGUGGCAGAUGGUUAAUGUAGUGGAUUGUAAAUCUAUAAAUGGGGGUUAGACUCCUUCCCUCGCUA
rnacentral:tRNA from 1 species